UGGUUCAGGACGAACGCUGGCGGCGUGCUUAACACAUGCAAGUCGAACGGAAAGGCCCCUUCGGGGGUACUCGAGUGGCGAACGGGUGAGUAACACGUGGGUAAUCUGCCCUGCACUUCGGGAUAAGCCUGGGAAACUGGGUCUAAUACCGGAUAGGACCUAGAGGCGCAUGCCUUGUGGUGGAAAGCUUUUGCGGUGUGGGAUGGGCCCGCGGCCUAUCAGCUUGUUGGUGGGGUGACGGCCUACCAAGGCGACGACGGGUAGCCGGCCUGAGAGGGUGUCCGGCCACACUGGGACUGAGAUACGGCCCAGACUCCUACGGGAGGCAGCAGUGGGGAAUAUUGCACAAUGGGCGCAAGCCUGAUGCAGCGACGCCGCGUGGGGGAUGACGGCCUUCGGGUUGUAAACCUCUUUCACCAUCGACGAAGGUUCGGGUUUUCUCGGAUUGACGGUAGGUGGAGAAGAAGCACCGGCCAACUACGUGCCAGCAGCCGCGGUAAUACGUAGGGUGCGAGCGUUGUCCGGAAUUACUGGGCGUAAAGAGCUCGUAGGUGGUUUGUCGCGUUGUUCGUGAAAUCUCACGGCUUAACUGUGAGCGUGCGGGCGAUACGGGCAGACUGGAGUACUGCAGGGGAGACUGGAAUUCCUGGUGUAGCGGUGGAAUGCGCAGAUAUCAGGAGGAACACCGGUGGCGAAGGCGGGUCUCUGGGCAGUAACUGACGCUGAGGAGCGAAAGCGUGGGGAGCGAACAGGAUUAGAUACCCUGGUAGUCCACGCCGUAAACGGUGGGUACUAGGUGUGGGUUUCCUUCCUUGGGAUCCGUGCCGUAGCUAACGCAUUAAGUACCCCGCCUGGGGAGUACGGCCGCAAGGCUAAAACUCAAAGGAAUUGACGGGGGCCCGCACAAGCGGCGGAGCAUGUGGAUUAAUUCGAUGCAACGCGAAGAACCUUACCUGGGUUUGACAUGCACAGGACGCGUCUAGAGAUAGGCGUUCCCUUGUGGCCUGUGUGCAGGUGGUGCAUGGCUGUCGUCAGCUCGUGUCGUGAGAUGUUGGGUUAAGUCCCGCAACGAGCGCAACCCUUGUCUCAUGUUGCCAGCGGGUAAUGCCGGGGACUCGUGAGAGACUGCCGGGGUCAACUCGGAGGAAGGUGGGGAUGACGUCAAGUCAUCAUGCCCCUUAUGUCCAGGGCUUCACACAUGCUACAAUGGCCGGUACAAAGGGCUGCGAUGCCGUGAGGUUAAGCGAAUCCUUUUAAAGCCGGUCUCAGUUCGGAUCGGGGUCUGCAACUCGACCCCGUGAAGUCGGAGUCGCUAGUAAUCGCAGAUCAGCAACGCUGCGGUGAAUACGUUCCCGGGCCUUGUACACACCGCCCGUCACGUCAUGAAAGUCGGUAACACCCGAAGCCAGUGGCCUAACCCUUGGGAGGGAGCUGUCGAAGGUGGGAUCGGCGAUUGGGACGAAGUCGUAACAAGG
rnacentral:rRNA from 1 species